rnacentral:rRNA from 1 species
GACGAACGCUGGCGGCGUGCUUAACACAUGCAAGUCGAACGAUGACGACCGAGCUUGCUCGGUCUGAUUAGUGACGAACGGGUGAGUAACACGUGAGCAACCUGCCCUUCACUCUGGGAUAACCUCGGGAAAUCGGGGCUAAUACCGGAUAUGAGCUCCUGUCGCAUGGCGGGUGCUGGAAAGUUUUUCGGUGAAGGAUGGGCUCGCGGCCUAUCAGUUUGUUGGUGAGGUAGUGGCUCACCAAGGCGAUGACGGGUAGCCGGCCUGAGAGGGCGACCGGCCACACUGGGACUGAGACACGGCCCAGACUCCUACGGGAGGCAGCAGUGGGGAAUAUUGCACAAUGGGCGAAAGCCUGAUGCAGCGACGCCGCGUGAGGGAUGACGGCCUUCGGGUUGUAAACCUCUUUCAGCAGGGAAGAAGCGAAAGUGACGGUACCUGCAGAAGAAGCGCCGGCUAACUACGUG